rnacentral:rRNA from 2 species
UUAACACAUGCAAGUCGAGGGGCAGCAUGAACUUAGCUUGCUAAGUUUGAUGGCGACCGGCGCACGGGUGAGUAACACGUAUCCAACCUUCCGUUUACUCAGGGAUAGCCUUUCGAAAGAAAGAUUAAUACCUGAUAGUAUGGUGAGAUUGCAUGAUAACACCAUUAAAGAUUUAUUGGUAAACGAUGGGGAUGCGUUCCAUUAGGUAGUAGGCGGGGUAACGGCCCACCUAGCCUGCGAUGGAUAGGGGUUCUGAGAGGAAGGUCCCCCACAUUGGAACUGAGACACGGUCCAAACUCCUACGGGAGGCAGCAGUGAGGAAUAUUGGUCAAUGGGCGAGAGCCUGAACCAGCCAAGUAGCGUGAAGGGUGAAGGUCCUACGG